rnacentral:tRNA from 1 species
GAGGAUAUACCUCAAUAGUAGAGUGCAUGCUUAGCAUGCAUGCAUGAGGUCAUGGGUUCAAUCCCCAGUACUUCCA